GACGCCGUUCGUUCUGGCCAUCAUGCUGGAGCUGCAAAACGGCUUCCAAUUGCCGUGAUGCUGCUGGUGAUUAUGGAGAUGAACGGAGCUGACGUGGUCCUGCUGCACCUGCUCGGCGUGCUGUUUUUCCUUGGUCGCCUGAUGCACUUUCACGGCUUACGCAGCCGAACCCUGCUGUGGCGCCGCAAUGGCAUGAUUUUAACGCUGCUCUCCAUGUUCGACAUGGUUGUCACCAAUCUGGUGUUCCUGCCAUGGGACUAGUUUUUA
rnacentral:rRNA from 1 species